rnacentral:pre_miRNA from 1 species
UUGGAUGUGUCGGCUUGGCAGUGCACCGCUAGCUGGCUGUUGUAAUCUCCCUGGACAGCUGCUAGUUGCACUUCCCUCUGCUGCAUCCAUU